rnacentral:rRNA from 1 species
UACAGAGGUCUCGAGCGUUAGGCGGAAUCACUGGGCUUAAAGCGUGUGUAGGCGGAUUGGUAAGUACCUUGUGAAAUCCCACGGCUUAACCGUGGAACUGCUUGGUAUGCUGCCUGUCUUGAGCCAGCUAGGGGCGACCGGAACAAAUGGUGGAGCGGUGAAAUGCGUAGAUAUCAUUUGGAACGCCAAUGGUGAAAACAGGUCGCUGGGGCUGUGCUGACGCUGAGACACGAAAGCCAGGGGAGCAAACGGG